CAGACCCAGAUUCCAUUUCGAAGAAGGAGGCCCCACCCCCUCCCUCCAGGACCCACCACUGGCCACGGCCCCCCCUCCACCCACAGCUGACUGUUUACUGCCUCUCUAGAAACAGUUGAAGGAUGGAUCAGCCCUUCUUAAGAUGUUGAAGGAGGCGCUCUGGAUUGACAUGGAACUUGAGGCAUCAUCUGUUCAUGGACUUCAUAUCCAUCUCUGCUAAUGAGGAAACCCAUAUCUAAAAUUAGGAGAUGCUGGAGGCACUUGGCUGAGGUACAUUCACUAAGGUAAAGUUGAGCCAGCACACCCUGACUGGGACUGAGGUAGACGCGAAGAUCAUUAACAACUGCCAAGGACUUUUCCAUGAAGUCUAUAGCAUGAAGAUCUUGAAUCACCACAAUAUCCAGGUGAUGGGUGCCCCAGAAAUACUGUACCUUGUCAUGAAGUCUGUUAGCAGAGGAGACAUGUUUGAUCAUCUCCAGGACCAUGGCCAUGAGAGAGGCCCGGCAGUUAGAACCUGCUGUGCAGCACUACCCCAGAGAGCUGUUACCCACGGGGGGCCUGAAGCCAGAGAGCCUGCUUUUUGAUGCUGACCUGAAUGUAAAAAUUGCAGACUUUGGCCUCAGCAAUGAGUUCACCAACCACCAUAAUUUGAACAACUACUAUGACAUUCCCAAGGCCAACCUCCCCUCUCCCCACUUCCAUGAGGUGACAGCCAAGUUCAGCCCCACCCACUUUCCUGGAAAUGAGUCUGGAGCUCGCACCUCCCAGGAGUGUAUCCUCUCAUUCUCUCCUCCCAUGCUGUGCACCCCCCUCCCCUUCUGCCCCACCCCAUGCUCCCCCAUACUAGAUUGAGUUGAAAUAUGCCGUGGAAACUCAGAUUCUAACGAAGUAACUCAGGGAAUAGGCUGUUUCAUAUGUGGUGUAACUUGAUUAUUGCUAAAUAAUGAAUCUGGAACUGAUGGGUUCCCUGCUAAGCUGAUAAGUUUAAAAGCUUAAUUCGAAAAACCAAGCAAAUUUUGCUCACAGUUUGAAGGCAGCGAUGGGGAUUUGGUCAUGCAUUGGCCAGAGCUCUGUCUAAGGAGAAAGAUACUGUGCCUUCCCAGGUGUCUAGUUUUGUCUAACUUCUUAUAUGCCCUCCACCCUCACGGGGCCUGCAAUUUUAUGGGGGAAAAAACUCUACAACAUAUUAAAAUACUGUUGAGAAUAUUAGC